AACGAACGCUGGCGGCAGGCCUAACACAUGCAAGUCGAGCGAACCCUUCGGGGUUAGCGGCGGACGGGUUAGUAACGCGUGGGAAUAUACCCUUUGGUACGGAAUAGCCUCGGGAAACUGAGAGUAAUACCGUAUGUGCCCUUCGGGGGAAAGAUUUAUCGCCAAAGGAUUAGCCCGCGUUGGAUUAGAUAGUUGGUGGGGUAAUGGCCUACCAAGUCUACGAUCCAUAGCUGGUUUGAGAGGAUGAUCAGCAACACUGGGACUGAGACACGGCCCAGACUCCUACGGGAGGCAGCAGUGGGGAAUAUUGGACAAUGGGCGCAAGCCUGAUCCAGCAAUGCCGCGUGUGUGAAGAAGGCCUGCGGGUUGUAAAGCACUUUCAGUGGGGAAGAACAGAUUCGGGUCAAUACCCGGA
rnacentral:rRNA from 1 species